rnacentral:rRNA from 1 species
GACGAACGCUGGCGGCGUGCUUAACACAUGCAGGUCGAACGGAAAGGCCCUGCUUUUGUGGGGUGCUCGAGUGGCGAACGGGUGAGUAACACGUGAGUAACCUGCCCUUGACUUUGGGAUAACUUCAGGAAACUGGGGCUAAUACCGGAUAGGAGCUCCUGCUGCAUGGUGGGGGUUGGAAAGUUUCGGCGGUUGGGGAUGGACUCGCGGCUUAUCAGCUUGUUGGUGGGGUAGUGGCUUACCAAGGCUUUGACGGGUAGCCGGCCUGAGAGGGUGACCGGCGACAUGGGGACUGAGAGACGGCCCAGACUCCUACGGGAGGCAGCAGUGGGGAGUAUGGCACAAUGGGCGGAAGCGUGAGGCAGCAGCGCCGCGUGCGGGAUGACGGCCUUCGGGUUGUAAACCGCUUUCGCCUGUGACGAAGCGGGAGUGACGGUAAUGGGUAAAGAAGCACCGGCUAACUACGUG